rnacentral:lncRNA from 1 species
CUUUGACAGACCAUUUAGGACCAUUUAGGAUUUUAGAGAAAGAAUAAAAUUCUACUUCUGUUUUAGAUCCUAGAGAAUGGAUGCAAUGAGUGAUCGCAGUACAUUUCCAGCAGAGGAAGCCCUUAUUUGUUACCUUGAAGAUGAUGAUCGUUGGAGGAGAAGAUUUCCGAGCGCCGAACUGUGUGUAGCCGGUUCGGCGUUUGGAGGAUUCCUCAUCAUCUCCGGAAUAGUGAUGGUGACGCUCCACUACACAAUAGAGGCACGCGAUGGUUUCCAUUCGCUGCUGGAAAGCAUGAAUGUAAACAGCCUUGUAUUUGGUUUUGCCUUGAUAGCUCUUGCAAGUGCUUUUUUCAUAACUGUCAUGUUUGCAUACGCAGUUUGUAAAGUCAUGGAGAUAAUAGAAAUGGCCCACCGUUACAAAGAGCACAAGGAACUCUGCGCUUAUGAGGACCUGAGGCAGAGUUUCAGAUCACAGCAUAGCAUGAGAUUUGACACAAACAGGUGUGUCAUAGAUCUAUCCAAAUACCCGAUAGAACAGAAAGAAAAUACCAAUAAAUGACCAUUAAUGAUCUUUGUUAACGUCUAAGACAUAAAUAAAGGUUUUAGAAGACAGAAGCACACUUCUUUGAAAUAGGAACUUUCAAAGAACGAAUUUAUACUUUUAACGCUACUUCUGUUUGAUAUAGUUGACAUUAAGAACGAUUUGUUGCUAGAAAACAGUUAUAAUACGCAUUGGGAAUAAAAAAAAAUAGUUGAUCAUAUCAAAUAGGAACAGAAAUACGCCUGUGCAAAAUUUAAAAUUAGGCAAAUCAACAGUUUUAUUUUGGUGUGCAUUUUGAAUAAAACUACUACUGGUUUCGAGGGCGAAUAAGGCACAAGUAAAGAACUUAGGAAAGCUUUCUUAGACUCAAUGUAAACCUGUUUCGCCGCUGCGCCGCUAUAUCGUAGAGCCACGGCUAUGCAGUGAAACAUCAGAACAGGUUGGAACUUUAAUAAAGCAAUCCGAGGGAUGGUAAAUGUUUUAUUCUACAAUAAUUGAAAAUUUUAAAUAUUCAUACAUUUCCGGAGUUUUAUUAGCAAAAUGAUGUUAAUUAAUAGGAUUUUGGAGACACCAUUUUGUUUAAAAAGGCGGACUGAAAUUGUUCAUGAAAAAUUAUAGACUAAAAUUCUGGAGGUCAUAGAAAUCCUACCUAGUUUUUACUUUUAAUUUAAACAGCAAGUCUUAUGUAAGAUAAAAUCUAAAUUUAAUUAACUUCUUAUCAGAAUUCGAAGUUUUUUUUUAAAUAAAUUGUGUAGAUGAUCUUUUAUUCUCUAAUACUUUAUUGGGUAGUUGUUUCACGUGGAAACUACUAAUAUUUAGAUUUAAAAAAUACAUCUUAUUGUUUUGAAAUUACUUGUUAUUCGACCAUCAACUCUUCUUUUUGUAAAUCUACUUAAUUAUUUUUUUAUUUGAUGUAAUAUCCAUGUUUAAAUUAUGGUUAAGAUUAGAAUUAAUAGCAAACAAAAUAAACGACUGCGGUGAUGUUAAUAAAUAAGCAUGUUAAAUAUUUAGUUAAUCAGCAAUUAAUUACAUCAAAAUAGUAGAAGCAAAAAAUAACUUUAUCUAUUUUUAUAUUCUUUUCAAUCAAGCAUAUUAGUAAAUACUAAAAUAAAGAAUAACGCGUUUUAAGUAAACGAUCAUAAUUAUUGCAAUUCUGCACUUCUAUGUAUACAUAUGUGGGAUUUUAAAUCCAUAGCUUAAUAUUUUUCCUCGCGCGCUGUCUAAAUUUUAGCUGUUGACUGCACGAGUGAAAUUGAUAGAACUCUCGCCACUUGUUUUAUGAGAGGAGAUGCAAGAUGAUAUAGAUGUUGUGUUAAGAGAUGUAAGACGUUAUAGUUGUCAUGUUAAUAGAUAUAAGAUGUUAUAGAUAUCGUGGUAAUAGAUAAACGAUGUUAUAUAUGUUGUAUUAAUAGAUGAACUAUAUUAUAGAUGUAUUAAUGUUUUACUAAAUGUGUGUUGUUUGAAUAUGAAUUGUGAUUUCGAAACUAAAGAACCCACAAAUAUAUACAAAUGAUUUUAAAUAUCCUUCAGUUUACAUUACAGCUAAGACCAAGCUUUUCUUGCAGAAAGAGAAUCAAAUGAGUUCUGUAGAUCAUUGUCUUGCGAUCGAACAUUAAUUCUGAUGAAAUCUUUCGAGCUUCGGACAACACAGUAAAACACUGCCAAUAUGUCUGCCGAUAGAACUUUUCUGGUCGCCGCUUUUUCAGAUGGCCCAGACUUUCCUUUUUACUAUCGAUAGGCAGACUUUUGUCAUCGAUAACGAAAUGGCCGUAGUUUAUCGUUUGUGAAGGUUUUAAUGUUUUGGAUUCGUGUAUGAACUUUGUCAGAAAAAAAAAAAUGAAUAUCGCGAAACCUUCCAAUU